GUCGGGAGGGCGGCUAAUACAACACCCUUCGGGGGAAUACGCCCGCCGUCUGUCUGCGGUUUCUAACCUCCCGACAUCCCGUC
rfam:Xanthomonas translucens pv. undulosa strain Xtu 4699, complete genome.